UACGAAGGGGGCUAGCGUUGCUCGGAAUCACUGGGCGUAAAGGGUGCGUAGGCGGGUUAUUAAGUCAGAGGUGAAAUCCUGGAGCUCAACUCCAGAACUGCCUUUGAUACUGAUAGUCUUGAGUAUGGGAGAGGCGAGUGGAACUGCGAGUGUAGAGGUGAAAUUCGUAGAUAUUCGCAAGAACACCAGUGGCGAAGGCGGCUCACUGGCCCAUUACUGACGCUGAGGCACGAAAGCGUGGGGAGCAAACAGG
rnacentral:rRNA from 1 species